CCAUUAAAGUGCUUAAGUAAAUAAAAGUGUUCAAAAACAGCGGUUUUUGAGCCGGAGUUCUGCUCGUGGUGGGAACGCCGCCGCAAAAAGCCACUUUUUAAUCGCGAAAACGAUCGACUGGUUACUGACAACCAAAAGGUUGUUUUUGGUAGAUAUUAAAGAUCAUGGGUGGGCGGGGCAAAUGGAGCAGUUUUCUACAGUCGAGUAAAAUUCCAGGAAAGAGCUGGGUGUGGCUUUCCUUUAAAUCACAUGAUCAACAGCUUUAAGAUGGAGGCAACUCGCUCAGUGUUUCCUGUUUCAUUCUUAGACUGUGGCGAUGGCCGACCAAGAGCAAAAUAGAAGACAACAAUUUCUCAAAGGAGGUUCAAAACUAAUGCCUACAAGAUUACCAAGAGGAGGGUUCGGGGCUCUUACAUGACUCCAGGAAGUCAACACUUGGUGGAUGAGGUGUGUUACCUUUGACACUUUUAAGACAGUCCUGUUUAUCACUACUAACAAUAAGCAAAUAUGUUUUCACUCAACAGAUCCUUCACAGCAUGUUGUUUCUGGGCAAAAUCAACAACAUCCCCUUUUCUCCAGAAGAAAUCUUCCCUAAUCCUUUUGUUUUGGGUUCUUUAAUGAGAAGAUAUCCCAGGCCUUUAAAGUUGUAUUCGACUCAGCUUCCCAGGCGAAGUCCCUUCUCCUGUGUGCUCGACAUGGUAAG